AGGUCUUGACAUCCUUUGACCACUCUAGAGAUAGAGCUUCCCCUUCGGGGGCAAAGUGACAGGUGGUGCAUGGUUGUCGUCAGCUCGUGUCGUGAGAUGUUGGGUUAAGUCCCGCAACGAGCGCAACCCUUAUUGUUAGUUGCCAUCAUUUAGUUGGGCACUCUAGCGAGACUGCCGGUGACAAACCGGAGGAAGGUGGGGAUGACGUCAAAUCAUCAUGCCCCUUAUGACCUGGGCUACACACGUGCUACAAUGGGAAGUACAACGAGUUGCGAAGUCGCGAGGCUAAGCUAAUCUCUUAAAGCUUCUCUCAGUUCGGAUUGUAGGCUGCAACUCGCCUACAUGAAGCCGGAAUCGCUAGUAAUCGCGGAUCAGCACGCCGCGGUGAAUACGUUCCCGGGCCUUGUACACACCGCCCGUCACACCACGAGAGUUUGUAACACCCGAAGUCGGUGAGGUAACCUUUUUGGAGCCAGCCGCCUAAGGUGGGAUAGAUGAUUGGGGUGAAGUCGUAACAAGGUAGCCGUAUCGGAAGGUGCGGCUGGAUCACCUCCUUUCUAAGGAA
rnacentral:rRNA from 1 species